AUGGCCUCUGCUGCUGCUAGUGCUACCGGCAGCAAGAAGACGAUGCUGCGCGUCCUCAUCUUCCCCUUCUUCGCCACCAGCCACAUCGAGCCCUUCACCGACCUCGCCGUCCGCCUCGUCGCCGCCGGACCUGCAGUGGAGGCCACCGUCGCCGUCACGCCGGCCAACGUCCCGGUCGUCCAGUCCUUGCUCCGGCGACGUGGGCAGCCCGAGCAUGUCAAGAUAGCCACGUACCCGUUUCCGGCCGUGGACGGACUCCCGGAGGGCGUGGAGAACCUCGGCAGGGCCACGGAGGCCGACUCGUGGCGCAUCGACGCCGCUGCCCUGAGCGAGAAUCUGACGCGCCCGGCGCAGGAGGCGCUCGCCAGGGCGCUGUCUCCGGACGCGGUCGUCACCGACGUGCACUUCGCCUGGAACGUCCGCGUCGCCGGCGAGCUCGGCGUGCCGUGCGUCGCGUUCAGCGCCAUCAGCGCCUUCCCGACGCUCGCCCUGCACCACCUCGAGCGGGAGGACGUCGGCAAUGGCGAUGUGGACGUCGUCACGGUCCCCCAGUUUCCGGGCCCUAGUAUCCGGUACAUGCGCCAUGGCUACGCGAAGCGCGCCUACUUCGUGGGCCCUCUCUUCUCGUCGUCAUCACCAUCCCAUUCCCCGGCCGGCGGCGGCGUGGACGACCAACAGUCACAGUGCAUCGGCUGGCUGGACUCGAAGCCGGACCGUUCCGUGGUGUACCUGUGCUUCGGCAGCCUCACCCACGUCUCCGACGCUCAGCUGCAGCAGCUCGCUCUCGGGCUGGAGGCCGCCGGGAAGCCCUUCCUGUGGGUGGUGAGGGACGCGGGGAACUGGACCCCGCCGGAGGGGUGGUCCGAGCGUGUGGGAGACCGAGGGCUCCUCGUCACGGCGUGGGCCCCGCAGACGGCCAUACUGGGGCACCCGGCCGUCGGCGCGUUCGUGACGCACUGCGGGUGGAACUCCGUCCUGGAGACGGUGAUGGCGGGGGUGCCGGUGCUGACGUGGCCCAUGGUGUUCGAGCAGUUCAUCACCGAGAGGUUGGUGACGGAGGUGCUGGGGAUCGGGGAGCGGCUGUGGCCGUGCGGCGCCGGCCUGCGAAGCACCAGGAACGAGGAGCACGAGGUGGUCCCGGCCGGAGACGUGGCACGUGCGGUGACGGCGUUCAUGCGCCCCGGAGGGGCAAGGGACGCGGCGAGGAGCAGGGUGAUGGACCUCGCCGCCAAGUGUCGUGCCGCCGUGGCGGAAGGGGGCUCCUCGCACCGUGAUCUGCGUCGGCUCGUCGAUGAUCUCAUGGAAGCAAAAGCCAAGAGGAGCUAG
rnacentral:rRNA from 1 species